rnacentral:lncRNA from 1 species
CAGCGUGAUGACUCACCAGCCUUACUUCCUGCUGUGGAGUGCUUUCUCCUGCUCAGCAAGGCUCAGCGCUGAAUUUCCUGUGACAUUUGCAUAAUUCUGAGUCUCUUCUGGACUGUGAAGGAGAACUUGUAAAAAGUUGUGUCUGCUGAGACUGGUUGACUGAUUAAAAUUUCAGGACUAUGGAGAGAUUUGAAUGUUACAGGUCCAGAGACUAAUUACAUUAUCUUCGGUUAACUGUACCCCCAAAUCUCAACAGCUAUUCCUUGCCUGCCUCUGUGUCAGAACCAACAUACUGUGACUAAUAGAUAAAAAAACCUUUGGAAACUAUUAAUUUAACAGACCUUCUACCAAACCCAAAGAUAAGAGUGUUAACAGAUAACAUCUUUGGUCUAUAAAAUAAGUCUCCUCAACCUUGCUGUAACCACCUUUUGGAUAUGCCCACCAAUGUAUUUUAAGCUUAUCCUGAUUUAUGACUUUCAUUUUUCUCUAAAACUAUAAAACUUCAUGGAACUGCUUCUAUGUUAGAACAUGGACUUUGGGGUAUCUUAAUCUGUGUUUCUGGUCAUUCAGAAUGGAUCCAGAAUGAACUAGCUUUUAUUCUUUUUAAGAAGGAAAAUUGUUUUUUUGUGUUGACACAAUCAAAGUCAAAUUUUAAAUGAAUUAAAAAUUAUUUUUAAAAGUAAGAAUUGAUUAUUGAUAUUAGCUCCCCCAAUUAAGCAAAAGCUAUUGACAUAGUAUGUUAAGAAGUGUGCAUGUCUGUCCUCUGACUCGUGAUGGAAUUCAAAUAUGUUUUGGUGAACAAGUUUAGUAAUAGUGGGUGACUAUGGCUAUCAUAGUAUGGGGACUCCUCAAUAAGAACACAGAAACUAAGAAACUUCUAUCUCUUUAAAAAAGAAUGGACCAUUUUGCCUCCAGAGGAUGCAAAUUGAACAUGUCUUUGUGUUUUCACAUAGAAUUUUAUUUCUGUUCUCACACCCCACCCUCCUUUACAUGAAUAUUAAGGUCCAAGGCUUUAGCAACAGGCUUUUGGUCCUGGGGGAAGAAAGGGUAAAGGGAAAAGUGUUGUGUAUGGCUUUUCAUAUGUUAAUGGUUGCUUCCAUGGCAACCAUUGAAAAAAACAGAAGGGCUAGGGACAAAAGGGGCUGCAGGAGAGAGGAUGGGGCUCUUUCAGGGGCUAGAAGGAAUAACAGCCCAGACCCUCCCCUCUGAAAGAUAGCUGAUGGCCAGGCCUCAAAGGACUUGUCUUAAUAGUGCAGAGCCAGUAUGUAGUUAAUGCAGAGUUUUAUGAGUCCAAAUUUCACCCUCAAUGAUGUUUCCCCUUUAAAACGUGGAGAAUAAGAAUCUGAAACCAAGAGGAUGUUUCAAAUCACUGCUCCCAUUGGGACCUGCAAUGGAGUCUCUCUAGAGGACACACUAGACUAUCGGUUCUAAGCAUCAGACAUUUCAGUUUUGAGUUAAAAGGUCAAGGGCUUUUAUCUUUGAGUACAAGAAGGCUUUUAAAGCUGGCUGACUAAGAGCAAGCACAGUGGGAAUGGCUGUGCUCUCUCUCACAUGCAUCCUUUGAACACUGUUGUCCCUGAUGACAUGUUGAAAUGGUACAGGACACAGACAAGAGCAGGUCACAGGACACAGAGGACACUGGUGACAUUCCAUUCCUUGGCUUCCUUGACCAAUGAAAAGAAUUCCUGGCUGCCUAUCUAUCCUCCUAGAAACAAGAGGUUACAUCCUCACAUCAGAUUCCCUAGUGUGCUAAGUCUUCAUGUGAACUUCGGUGGUUAUACAUAUGAAAUAGCUGCUGUAUCUUGCCAGCACAACACACUCUUUCUAGCCCUUUCUCGACUACUGUAAAGCAGUACAUUCAGUAAUAAUGCUGACUUUAUCAAUUUUCUAUCCAGCCUUGUUUUCUUGCAUGUGUAUUCCUCAGUCUUUGAUUGAAUUAUAUUGAAUUCUUCUCUCUCUCUCUCUCUCUUUUUUUUUGUCUCCUUUAAAUAGUGGCCAGAGACCAGCCACCAGUAGCUGUGAUACAGUGUUUUCUCUGUUUCGAUAGACACAAGGGCUUUUUAUCACAAUGGAAUGCUUAUGGAAUUGCAUGUUUCAAAAGACACUAACAUGAAAAUACAACUUCAUUCAAAGUCAGGUUACAAUUAUGAAUAGCAAGGCUGCAAUGAAGAUAGAGAGAAAGAAGUGCUGGUCUGUCUUUCUUUCAGUGGUUAUAAAAUGUAAUGCAUGUUUUUUUUUCCCCUCAUAAGCCUUAUGAACUUAGUCCCACUUUCAUGCUAUUCAAAACUCUGAUGGGGUAGAAAGAACAGAGUUAUUGUAGCUACCAGGAAUCCCAGUUUGAAAUCUGACAAUAUUGUUACCAAUAUUAUAUUAUAAAGAGAUAGUUUCUUCAAAAUAAUCUUAUUUUUGAAUGCCUGUUUUGCUUGAUAUUUGCUGAGUAGUAUUUGACAUCUGAUAUUUUGGCAACAACACUGAAUAAUUCAUCUGUUCAUCAAAGUUUUUAGAAGUAUUCUCAUAGACUAGGACUUGGUCAUAUUUGAUCAGUACAUGAUAUGACUGGUUCUCAUGGAAAUGUAGCCUAGUAUAUAUUGAUAAUUGUGUUAAUAAAGAAUCAUCCC